rnacentral:rRNA from 1 species
UGCAUUAUCCAAAAAGCGGAGGAAAAGAAACCAACAGGGAUUGCCUUAGUAACGGCGAGUGAGCGGCAAAAGCUCAAAUUUGAAAUCUGGCGCAAGCCCGAGUUGUAAUUUGAAGAAGGUAAUUUUUGGGAAGAUGUAGACAAAAGUUCCUUGGAACAGGACGUCAUAGAGGGUGAGAAUCCCGUUUUGUUUACCUCUCUUUCCUUGUAAAAUGCUUUCGAAGAGUCGAGUUGUUUGGGAAUGCAGCUCUAAGUGGGUGGUAAAUUCCAUCUAAAGCUAAAUAUUGGCGAGAGACCGAUAGCGAACAAGUACAGUGAUGGAAAGAUGAAAAGAACUUUGAAAAGAGAGUGAAAAAGUACGUGAAAUUGUUGAAAGGGAAGGGUUUUAAGGGAGACUUGGGGGGUAAUGAACAAUUUUCCUUUGGGAAGGUGCACUCGUUAUUCUCUGGGCCAAUAUGGGUUUGUGGAGUAGGAUAAAAGGGAAGGAAUGUGGCCAUUCGUGGUGUUAUAGCCUUCUCCAAUACUACUACCGUAGACCAAGGAAAGCGAUUUCUAGGAUAUUGGCGUAAUCCCUUUAAACCACCCGUCUAAAAAAGCGAGAGCACAAA